rnacentral:lncRNA from 1 species
AUUAGAGGACUCAUCAAUAAAUUCAAGACUCUCCACAUGGGCAAUCUAAAAUUUAAUUAUAUUGUAACUUAGUAGUAUAGAAUACUUUUAAUCAAGCUUGUGCACAUUGGGCCAAAUUUUGACAAAAACAUGUUGAGCCCAAAUAGAAAAAAUGACAUGGCACCUAGGGUUUUUCAAUUAGGUGGACCCCACCCUAAUUUUAGGACACAUGGUCCUAGGGAUCUUAACCAAGCAGCCGUCACAUUACAUUCCUAUCAUUUCUUCUCUCGACAAUUUUUUGAGAAAGCUACUGCCGCCACUCAAUUUUAUUUUUCUUGGAGACUUUGGCUUUUGGAGGGCUGGAAUAUUUGGGGAGAUUGGAAUGAUAUUCAUGGUGAAGGGCGUUGGAUGAAUCAAGGAAGCACAUGCUUCCAGCCGCCACUUACUCUACAGAAGCACUUUUCAUUUGGCACCAACUUUCUCUCGGCAUUUUGGUGAUUAAAGGAGCAGCCACACACAUUUUGAUAUUUUUAUUUGUGCUGGAGCGUUACUUAGGAGAGAUUUUUUGGAACAUGGUUUCAACGUUGAAGGUGGAUGCACUGAAUUUAAUUGGUUGCACGCUGUUACGUUCCUUUAUAUUAAAAUUGUAGAAGCAUUCAUUUCCCUUCAAUUCAAGGUGCACACCGCUGCGUUAAUCUUUCUUAUGGAGAAAGUGAUGGUAAUUGAUUUCUUUUGGAGGAAGUUGCACGGUUUUAUAUAAGGAGGAAAAGAAGGCCUCUUAGGUUUUGCUUUCAUUAGUCACGGUGAACCAAAAACACUUUUUAUAUUCUACAUGUGAAUUAAAUGCAUUUUUUUCUUUUUUUUUUAUUUUACAAUGUGAAUUUUAAUUAACGUAUGCCUUUAUCAAUUUAGCAUUUCUUUCGUUUUGUACAUUUCCGUGGUGAAUGGAAGUUAUUAA